GACGAACGCUGGCGGCGUGCUUAACACAUGCAAGUCGAACGGAAAGGCCUGCUUUCCCUUGUGGAUUGCGGAUACUCGAGUGGCGAACGGGUGAGUAACACGUGAGUGAUCUGCCCCCAACUUGGGUAUAAGCCUGGGAAACUGGGUCUAAUUCCCGAUAGGACUGCAGGGUGGUGCCUGUGGUGGAAAACGAUUUUCUAGUGGUUGGGGAUGAGCUCGCGGCCUAUCAGCUUGUUGGUGGGGUAAUGGCCUACCAAGGCGGCGACGGGUAGCCGGCCUGAGAGGGUGGACGGCCACAUUGGGACUGAGAUACGGCCCAGACUCCUACGGGAGGCAGCAGUGGGGAAUAUUGCACAAUGGGCGGAAGCCUGAUGCAGCGACGCCGCGUGGGGGAUGACGGCCUUCGGGUUGUAAACUCCUUUCGACCGCGAGGAAGCCACCUGGUUGGAAGGGUGGUGACGGUAGUGGUAGAAGAAGCACCGGCUAACUACGUG
rnacentral:rRNA from 1 species